UGCUAGUUGCACGAGUUUAGACUCGUGGCGAAAAGCUCAGUAACACGUGGUCAAACUACCCUACGAAGGCCCAUAACCUCGGGAAACUGAGGCUAAUAGGUCAUAGGAGAGUCACGCUGGAAUGCCGACUCUCCCAAACGCUCAGGCGUCGUAGGAUGUGGCUGCGGCCGAUUAGGUAGACGGUGGGGUAACGGCCCACCGUGCCGAUAAUCGGUACGGGUUGUGAGAGCAAGAGCCCGGAGACGGAAUCUGAGACAAGAUUCCGGGCCCUACGGGGCGCAGCAGGCGCGAAACCUUUACACUGCACGCAAGUGCGAUAAGGGGACCCCAAGUGCGAGGGCAUAUAGUCCUCGCUUUUUCCGACCGUAAGGUGGUCGGCGAAUAAGGGCUGGGCAAGACCGGUGCCAGCCGCCGCGGUAAUACCGGCAGCCCAAGUGAUGACCGAUAUUAUUGGGCCUAAAGCGUCCGUAGCCGGCCACGAAGGUUCAUCGGGAAAUCCGCCAGCUUAACUGGCGGGCGUCCGGUGAAAACCACGUGGCUUGGGACCGGAAGGCUCGAGGGGUACGUCCGGGGUAGGAGUGAAAUCCCGUAAUCCUGGACGGACCACCGAUGGCGAAAGCACCUCGAGAAGACGGAUCCGACGGUGAGGGACGAAAGCUAGGGUCUCGAACCGGAUUAGAUAACCAGGGGAAA
rnacentral:rRNA from 1 species